UACGUAGGGUGCAAGCGUUGUCCGGAAUUAUUGGGCGUAAAGGGCGCGUAGGCGGCCUUCUAAGUCGAACGUGAAAUCCCUGGGCUCAACCCAGGAACUGCGUCCGAUACUGGAAGGCUUGAAUCCGGGAGAGGGAUGCGGAAUUCCAGGUGUAGCGGUGAAAUGCGUAGAUAUCUGGAGGAACACCGGUGGCGAAGGCGGCGUUCUGGACUGCAACUGACACUGAGGAACGAAAGCCAGGGGAGCAAACGGG
rnacentral:rRNA from 1 species